CAGUCCCCUAAGGGUUUACACUAAGAGAGAGACAGCAACGACGAGGCAGUGAUAUAAAGGCGAGAUGGACAAAUAACAAAGCUGAACUAUAACGCCAUACCAGUGGUACAAGCCAGGAGCUGAGUAUAUUCUGAGCAAUAGUGAGGGAGGAUGAAGUCACCAUAGGAAGAUCACACCUACUCUGAGAACCACGGACCGUGUGAAGCCCUGUGGAGCUUAAUGGGUCUUCCAAAUCUUUACCAGAGCUGCUAACAAGCAGUCAGCUGGACUGCCCUGUGACUUUCUCCUCUACAGUGAACCCACAGAAAGGUCAGCAGCCGGACACAGAAAUAGGAGAAGGGUCCUGGAUAAACACAGACAGUUUAAUCAACCAUGAAGAAAUCCAAGAGUUGACUGAAAGUGCUUUGUCAGGAAGAGGAGAGAGGCCCCUGCCCUCAGAGAAAUGUUGGAGGUCACUUUAGCAACAGAGACGGCCGCUGGCCACACAGGCCAUCGUGGAGGCACCAAGGGCCUGGUGGGGGUGUCAGUGGGGAGACUC
rnacentral:lncRNA from 1 species